rnacentral:lncRNA from 1 species
AUGGUUUAGGGUUUUCCUUCAAGAUCUUUAGGGUUUGAACAUUUUUGACAUGAUUGUGGAAUUUGAAUCCGAUCGAGUGAAAGCCUUGAGACUAGGUGUGUCAGCAAGGGAGUAGCGUGAAGUGGUGGACCAUGUUAACAAAUCUUGGGUUCAACAAGUGUACGCUUGGGAUUAAUUCAGCCGGGUGAAAUCCUUGAGACAUGGAGGUCGCGCAAGGAAGUAGUAACAACAGGUGAAUUGAAGUGACAUUGUUGGCGACUUGAUCAAUAUUUGAUCAAGGUUUUUGGAGGUGCUAGAGUCAAGAACAAACCUAGGGUUUGUGGGAUUUGAUUUCUCAUCGCUUAUAUUCAUACAUUUGUAAAGUAAGAUUUAUUAUAUUAAUAUCUCAAUUCGAAUUCUAAUUGAGGACAUAUGUACCCAU